rnacentral:lncRNA from 1 species
CAUGCAUAAUUUGUUGCAUGCCGAAUUUCAUUCAGAUUUCAAGUCAUCUUAGAGAUGCAACACACUUAGGUCUUAACAAACUAUCUUCACGUCUUGAGAGACAUCUUUUAACCUGACUUCUUCCAAAGAAGAAAACAAGACUAUACCUAACGCACUAGUUCUACUUCAAUCUUUGUUAACAUGUCGUCGCUGCAAUAGAACAAGUUUAUCCCCUGCCAUCUCUCCGCACUAUCUCUCCUCUUACUCUAAAUUUAGGGUAGCUUGAUCCAUCACCAUUUGAAGAAUUGCUGAAUUUACUGACACAUCACAUUCCUACAUAUAUCACAUUAUCAGCAUGAUUUUGUACCCAGUGUUCAUCGGCCUUCGCUUUCAUCAGCAGAUAAGUUUCAGGUGUGAUGGUGAUCAUAGUGUUGGUUAUGUAUGAAUAUGAGAUGUACUCUCUAUCUGAAGCCUGAACCUCUUUCCUCC